rfam:Stegodyphus mimosarum contig70686, whole genome shotgun sequence.
GCCUUCGUGGUGUAGUGGUCAGCACGCUCGACGCGUAACCGAAAGUCCGUGGUUCGAUUCCCGGCGAAGGCA